rnacentral:rRNA from 1 species
GGUCACUGCUAUCGGGGUUUGAUUAAGCCAUGCGAGUCGAGAGGGUUCGGCCCUCGGCGUACUGCUCAGUAACACGUGGAUAACCUGCCCUAAGGAAGGGGAUAACCUCGGGAAACUGAGGAUAAUACCCUAUAGGAUACCGAUGCUGGAAUGCCCGGUAUCCCAAAGCUCCGGCGCCUUAGGAUGGAUCUGCGGCCGAUUAGGUCGUUGUUGGGGUAACGGCCCAACAAGCCGAUAAUCGGUACGGGUUGUGGGAGCAAGAGCCCGGAGUUGGAUUCUGAGACACGAAUCCAGGCCCUACGGGGCGCAGCAGGCGCGAAAACUUUACAAUGCGGGCAACCGUGAUAAGGGAACCUCGAGUGCCUGUACAUGCAGGCUGUCUGGGUGUCUAAAACACACCCAAAGAAAGGGCCGGGCAAGACCGGUGCCAGCCGCCGCGGUAAUACCGGCGGCUCGAGUGGUGGCCACUUUUAUUGGGCUUAAAGCGUUCGUAGCUGGGUUGUUAAGUCUCUUGGGAAAUCUGGCAGCUUAACUGUCAGGCGUCUAAGAGAUACUGGCAAUCUAGGAACCGGGAGAGGUGAGGGGUACUUCGGGGGUAGGAGUGAAAUCCUGUAAUCCUCGAGGGACCACCUGUGGCGAAGGCGCCUCACCAGAACGGCUUCGACAGUGAGGGACGAAAGCUGGGGGAGCAAACCGGAUUAGAUACCCGGGUAGUCCCAGCCGUAAACGAUGCGCGUUAGGUGUGUCGAUGACCACGAGUCAUCGAGGUGCCGAAGGGAAACCGUGAAACGCGCCGCCUGGGAAGUACGGUCGCAAGGCUGAAACUUAAAGGAAUUGGCGGGGGAGCACCACAACAGGUGGAGCCUGCGGUUUAAUUGGACUCAACGCCGGGAAGCUCACCGGAUAGGACAGCAGAAUGAUUGCCGGGCUGAAGACUCUGCAUGACUAGCUGAGAGGAGGUGCAUGGCCGUCGUCAGUUCGUACUGUGAAGCAUCCUGUUAAGUCA